GAGGGUAUAGCUCAAGGGGUAGAGUGCAUGCUUAGCAUGCACAAAGUCCUGGGUUCAAUCCCCGGUACCUCCU
rfam:Camelus ferus unplaced genomic scaffold scaffold859, whole genome shotgun sequence.